UGACUGGUUGUAAAUAACCAGAUCGUUAGGAAUGAUAUAGCAAAUUAGCAAUCCAUAUACUCCGUAUCAUUUAAACAUUUUUUUUGCGGGGGAUAUCAUUUAAACAUUGAGGGACCUGGCUGUAAAAUUUUUGGGUUAAUUGGAUCUAUGCCACUGUAAUUUGCCAAAUUAAAAAAAUACCACUGCUAUUCAUCGUAUCGGCUAUAUGCCACUGAAAGUUAUUAAAAUUAGAACCAUGCCACUCCGGUCAUAAUUUCUAUCCUCCUCUCUUAUGCCGUCUCUAUUCCCGUCCUCAUCCCCCUCCUCUCCACGGCUCCGCCGUCUGCGCCGGCCGGCCUCCUCCGCUCGACGCGCGGCUCUGCCGGCUCCAUCGGCCCCACGUGCCGUGAGCGUGGCACGGUGCCGCCACGCUGCUCGCGCUCCCCGUGGCUGCCUGCACGCCCACCUACUGUCAGAUGGCACCCUGGUCAUACAUCCCUUGUAGCAGCAGCGGGUCUAGCUUGCCCGCCCAUAGAUGCAUUCUGUCGUUGAUGCGCUUGACGUCGGCAAAGUCCACCAACCGCGCGAGGCCGACGUCGUCGGUUUGCUUGGCGGUGUUCCAUGUCGAAGAAGCGGUCAAGGAGGAUGGCGAGCACGACGGCGACGUCGGAGCAUAGCUGCGUCCACCAUGGGGUAGAGUGUGGGUCGCCGUCGGUGACGAGGCGGUGGACGAGCGCGACUGCACGAGGCCACGUGCGGCUCCGCGGCCUCCGCGGCCAUGCGUGGCCCCUCCACCUCUGCCGUCCUUGCGCGGACCCGCGCGCCUCCGCCUCCCCUGCAGGCCCCCCGUUGCCCGGUGCACCUCCGCCGCACCACCGGCCUUGCGUGCCUUCGCGCGCCGUUGCGGCCCGACGCGGCUCCACCGCUCCCAUCACCAACAACCGCCGAGAAGGCCCUGCUCCAUGGCCGUCCUCCCCCUGGGUUCCAAUUUUAAAAAUUCCCAGUGACAUGUAGCGGAUAUGACGAAUGGUAGUAACAUUUUUUUAAUUUGUCAAAGUUACAGUGGCAUGGAUCUAAUUAACCUAAAAAAUUUUAUCUCAUACGGGCUGCGUAAUUAUUGCCUGGUGUUAGUGUGGGCUUUUUUGGAGCCGAGAUCGGCUCUCUUUUGCUGAUGAUAACUGGGCCGCACAAAUCCUCCUCCGUCUCCAUUUGCGUAAGCAGGCGACACACGGCCGCCACCGUGGCCGGCAGCCAUGGCCUCCGCCGCCGGCCGGACGAUCCGCGAUGAGGCAGGCUGCGCGUGGACCGGCGCCGGCGGCGCAAGGAGGUCCGGGCAUGGCGUUCCCUUGCUCGAUCCUCUGCCACUACUGUCUCCACGUGGCGCCACAUAUACGAUACGAGCGCGUCCGCCGGCGAUGCGGGGAUGGAGGAGGAGCCCUCGGCGGCCGUGGCGCACUAGUUCGAGGUAAGGCUCGAUCUCCCUGCAUAUCACUACCUGAUCAUGUCUAUUACGCCAUAUCUAUUCAACCGGUCAAGAUGAGUAGCCGCCUAACUGGAAGUGAUUGCGGUGACGAUGAUUUUUCUUCUUUUCACUACGUGAAAUUCAAGAUUUCUAGCAUUUUUUUUCUGUAAUGUGUAUUAAGAGGAGUAUUUAGAAACCAAAAAUAGCAAGCACGUUUCAUCAACUAUAUACCAAGAUUUUACUUUUAAAAUCUUAUGUAAUCUGGAGGAAUAUUACCAAGAACAGGCUUAUUACCAGCGGAAUGGCAAGCAAAUGCCAACGCUGGAGUUGCAAACAUGUCUGCUAAUUGAGGAAUGCAUCCUAUGCAUAACUUUAAAAAAUUAAAUCAGCAAGCAAGCCUUGGCAACUCAUUACCAUGAUUCCAGCUUCUGGAAUGUGGAAAAUUACCAUUAUGUUGUGGUUUCAGCUAGCCUUUCUGCAAUAUUGGUCAGUCAGCAUUCGGAAGCAUCUUUUUUGGUUUGGUUGCGGUGAAUGUCUUUGUGAAACCAUGUGUGGUUACAGUUCUUUUGUGAUGGGAAAUUGACAAGUACCGGAAGUGCAAGAAGUGUGUGCGUGGACUAACAUUGGUCAGGUUGCGACAUCUGUGCCAAGACAAUGGUUGUUUGGUUCAUGUGUGUGUAGGUGAUCGGGGUCGAUCUUGGUCAACGGUGGAUCGGGACUAGACUCAGGGAGGAGUUGAGGUCCAAAGCGAUCAAGGAUACCGGGUGACAAGAUUGGACACAAGGUUGCACACGGUGGACGAACACCGUAUGAGGAGGUCUUUGCAACGGACUUUGCAAGGUCAAGUGCAAGUGCCGGGUGCGCAAAGAAAAUGGUGAAUGGAAGAAGAGCUUGCAUAUAUGCACUAGUGUGUGCAUAUGCAAGCAUGGGCAGCUAGUUGAUUAGCUAGCUAGCUUGUGAUGCUUCGGCAGUGCAUACGUGCAUAUGGUCCAAUACCAUGCAUGACUGCAUGUGGGCUGGCUGGAAGAGAGGCCAACCGGCCUGUCCGGCUCGGGUGUUCGGUCAGCAGGAGGCCACAUGGCCGGUCCUGACUGGCCCAAGAUGGAGACAGCCCACGGCGACGGGCCCAUGAAGACAAGGCAUGCGGGGGGCGGGAGCCGUACGGGCGACGUGGCGUCCUCCCGUUCGACGGACCACGGCAUCGGCAGGAAGACGUGACACGCGGCAGGCAGCAACUCGGAGGCGAGCGCGGGAGAUCUCGGCGACGGCGCGCGCGCGUGAGGGACACGCGGCAGGCGCGGACUUGACCGCGCGCUCUCUCGCGGGAGCUAUACCGCGUGGGUCCUACGCAGAUUUUGGACGGGAUGCGCGGGAAACUUCGCUCGCUGGCCAGAGCACGAGCGCGCGCGGAGCACGUGGACACAUGGCGCAUGUGGAUAGGCUCGGAUGGACACGACGCGGAUCGGGGGUGCGAGGAGUCUUCGGAUCGACGACGUGGCAAGCAUCUAAGAGGUUUCCUUCGCAUGUAAGGAAGAAUGAACAGCCAGGAUUGCAUCUGAGAUAGGGUUUCGUCCUAGGGGUAUUUGAGACAAUGUCUUAGGGGUCUUAGGCUAUAAAUAGAGAGAUGGAUGCAAGGGUGGAGGUUGCUCCUUUGGUAAUCCUUUUGAGAUGCUUGGUGAGAGAGUUUUCGUGUGAGUUUGGAGUGUGUUUGCCCGAGAGGCUUUUGUAUUAGGAUUAGUUUGGAGUGUGUUUGUCCGAGAGAUUUUAAGUUUGUGUUAAUGUUCCUCUGAAGGUGUAUGUUUGCUCCUAGUUGAGCGGUUAUUUUGCAUCACCUAUGAAUGAAAUGAUUUGAAGGAUUUCGUUUUUGUCUUGUCCAUUUAAAUUCCACAAUUUAAAUUCCGCUUGCAAUUUGAACUUUGCGAUGAUGAGUUUUGCUCACUCCUCCUCACCUCUCUUCUAGUUUCGGGAAUUCCUUUUCUCUUCCUCUUCUAGUUUCGGGAAUUCCUUCUAUCUUCUUUUCUAGAUCCGGCUUCUCUAAUAGCCGCGGUUCUAGUAAGGAUUUUGAGAAAUCCGGCUUGAUGAGUAUUUUCGGGGGCAAGAUUUGAAUUGCUAUAUUCACCCCCCCUCUAUAGCCGUUCUUGGUCUUUCAGUCUUAAUAACAAAAUUUACUAUUGGUCAGUCAAAGAGGGCAUAAUCAACUGGAGAAUAAGGCUUACCUAACGUCCACAUCUUUGAUUUACUUGAGUUUUCUCCACCAAGGACAUGGACCUUUAUGCUCACCGUUCAUUCAAUCCAGUUAUCGUCUGCUGGCAGCUGCCAGCUGGGUACUCUCUGGUGCAUCUGUGUUCCCUCAAGUUCCUUCCUACUAAUUCAACUCAGAAGGCACCUGUGUUCCCUCAAGUUCCUUCCUACUAAUUCAACUCAGAAGGCACCUGUGUUCCCUCAAGUUUCUUCCUACUAAUUCAACUCAGAAGGUUGGGUUUGCAUAUACUUCAAAGGGGCAGCGAAGGCUGACUGGCUGAGUAGAGCUCGAGCAUGACUGUACUGGUGGAGCUUGAGCUCUAUCUCUACUAAAACCAACUAGCCAGGUAUGUGAAUCUCAAUCUGAAGGUAGAGAGAGUGAGGAAGCAGAGCUGGAAGAAGAACACUAGGUCCUAAGUGUAACAUUUUGUAAAAAUUACUAGCCCAAAGUGAAAAUAAUAGCUUGUUCCUAGUCCAAGCUGCGACCAUGGUAAAGAAAGCCGGUCCAAUAUGCAAUUAACUCUAUCUAUAUUUUGAUCGAUGUAUUGAUAUAUCUUGCUCUGUGUUGAUCAGGGAAGGAUUACUGAAGAUGGAAGAGAUAGUCGGUUCUGCUAUCGUUCAAGAGACGGUAAACAGGAUCAUAUCUGGGUUGAUUGACCGGUGUGAGCGAAAAUCAAGUGCACGGGAUCACCUGGAGAGGCUGGAGAUGGCACAAAUCAAGUUGGAGUUCGCACUUGAGACAUCCAAUAAAUGGCAGAUCACUAGUGGCCCGUUGUUACGUUGGCAGAAGAAGCUGAAGCGUGCUACUGAAGAGUGUGAUGACACACUACGGAAGUGCAGGCAACAUAUCCAGGAAGAAGAUGAGGUGGAACAACAAGUAAGGAAUUCUUCCUUUCCUAGGCGAAUUGCCCAUGCCACCAAGACACUGGUAUCUUCCAUCUUUCACAGCAAUAGUGAUGAGCUGGGUAGAUCUUCUGUCCAAAGAUUCGAGUGGUUUGCAGAUGGAGCUAAUGAUUUUCUAAGAUCUGUGGAAUUUGGAGGCACACCACGCCGUUACUUGUUCUUUGACCCUCUUAUCGGGCACCUUAUUUCAGGUGAAACGUUAGAGUACAAAUCAAUACAGGGAAACAAGCAGCAUUGGUUUUGGGUACGGCCCAAUAACUCUGCAGAGCGAGGAAUAGAAGCUAAGUUGUUCUUUGCUUUCAAUGAUGGCAGUGCACCUGAGGACAACUUUUACAUUGAUAUUAUUCUACAACUUUCAGAGAGUACAAACAUAGUUGGUACUACAAUUAAGUGCUUGCAGUUGUUUACUCCUUAUUUUGAGUCUACAGCUGAAACUGUUAGGAAAGAACUUAUUCAACUACCUACACAAGACUUCUCCAGGGUGUCACAUUCUCACUCAUACGGUUGGGAGAACAUUCAUAGUAUAGCUACUGAAUGGUUCCGCCCAAAUCCACUGUGUUGCAAGCAUCAUGGUCAGAAAGUAUGUGGUAGUGGGAACUUGCACAAGGUAGAAUUAACAGAUAUUUCUCUAGAACCCAUCAUUGAAGUGAGUUUACUGUGCCAAGUUUCACCUCCUGGGUUCAGAGAACAGGGAACAAUUGUUGAGGGUAAAUCUUCACUUAAAGAAUUUCCGCAUCUGAAUGUUAUCCUUGUCUAUACGCCCCAUGGCUCUUCAGAAGACCUAUUCCCAGCAGUUGAUAGUACUGUGAUUGAGGUGAUUAAUGGUAACGAGCAACAUUGCUUGCACACAAAUGUUCAUGCUGCCAAGGGCUGUAGAUUGUUUUCGUCAGAAUGCAAAAGCAACAGCGUAUCAGAUGCUUUGGAAGUCUAAACAUGGUGGUGCAUUUCUUCAGGCUGUGAAGGCAACAAUGAACAUGCGGAGCACACGGAGAACCAUUCGAGGAGCCAGGAAAGCAAAGAUGUUGCGACGACAUGAUCGCCGGACACACAAUCACAGACAUGAGGUCGCUGACUUCCUCAGCCUUUGGGCUGUGCAUGCACCUGUCCGGCUUCAGGGCUCACUCCUUGACUGGAUUCGGAAGGAGAAGAAAGUAGCAGGUCCUCUACUGACAUUUUAGAUGAUGUAAUAGGGACUAGAAGGGAAACAGGGAUAAUUAAAAUUAAAAGAAUGGGGGAGAAAAGUAACAUGUAGGGAGUUGGUUUCUAAGUACUUAGGAGUGUAUUCAUCUGAAAUGUUCUACAUAUACUGCUGUUGUUUGUCUCGUCAGUUAUGUUGGCAAAUGGUGAUAACAUGAUGUUCUUGCCCUAGAAGUCUAA